AUUCUGGCUGCUCGAAGAUCUCCUUCUGCAUAAAUGCGCUGAAGUUACCUGGUCAGAGAAACAUCAACAAGUGUCCAGAAACGCCUGAAGCAACCUUUCACACACGUUGCCAAAGGAUGCCCAGGAGUCCUAAGAUUCUGUCUGAGGAUCCAGGAUUUUAAACUGACCCCGGCUCUCUCUGGAUGAGGCUGCGUCCCCAUGGUUCCUGCCUAAUCCUUGCUCUGUGGUUCCUUUCUCCUGGUCUCCUGGCUCAUGAAACAAGGCCUGUACAGACCUUGGCUUUGGACUCACCCACUGGCACACCCCACCCCACAAGCCUUCAGCAAAGUCAGAGAGGCGCCUUUCAUGGCUUCAAAAGUUCCACCAGGUUCUCCAGCCGCAGGGGGCUGGAGUGGGUAACUGAAUCCUACUCAAGGCAGGAAAAAAAAAAGCGCACAGUGACCUUUUGUCCCAGAAGUUCCCGGCUUUCCCCGGCCAGCCAGCCAGCGGAGGCGGCCCAGCCAGCCAGGAGGGUAAGGAAUUGCAGAUGUGCGCCCAGGGCGGCCGCCUCCCUUCUGCUCUCAAAACCCGGCUGGACACCUCGGCGUCGCUCCGGGCUGCGCAGCUAUCCGGUCCAGGGCUCCCGCUCCUAGCUUUGGGCCAAGGCUCCGGGGAAGUCACUAUCUAUCCUGUCGCCAAGAGCUCGUUCCAGCAAAGCUUUUCCACAGUUCCCACCCUUCUAGGGACAGGAGAUUCUUUUUGAGUCGCAAGCAAGAUGGGCAAACCUUUCUGAGCGCACCAGGAGCUGUUUGGGACGCCCCGGGGCGGGCUGCUGACACCGCACAGCUUUGCAGCUCCCUGGGAAUGGAGGUGUUGUGCCCACUGAGGAGUUUGAAAUUCGAUGGUACUGACUGAGAAGGUUGGGCUGAAUCAUCUGAUGCCUAAAGCUGACUCAGGAGCAGCACUGCUCCUUCACCUCAGCGACGCAAGGUGUUUAGAAUCCCAGAGUUAUCAGAUCACAGAGGCUUCCACACCAAUUUCAAAGAA